ensembl:snoRNA small nucleolar RNA, H/ACA box 69
AAAGCAGGUUGCAAUUACAGUACUUCCUUCAUCUUGUGGAAGUAUUGCCAUUAUCCUGCUGAAAGAAAAAACAUGUUGAUUGUUUCUGAAUUUUGCCUUUCUGAAGGUAAAAUCAUAACAGCUUGACAUGGACAUUU